UGUUUUGUAGCUUAGUUGGUUAAAGCGCCGGACUAUCGAAAACGGAGUCGUGGGUUCGAAUCCCACUAAAACAA
rfam:Aedes albopictus isolate Foshan contig107541, whole genome shotgun sequence.